rnacentral:lncRNA from 1 species
GGGGCUUAAACCCCAACAGGUGCCUAUCCAGAAGCAGGAGCAUGACCUGAGUCUGCUGGUAGCUGAGAGCAAUAUGGGGCUAGAGGCCAUUUAAUCUUAGUCUUCACUGCUGAUAAAGAUUUGAUUCAAGUGCACCUACCUGGCUUAGUUGUCCACUUGAGAGAGCCUACAGCAGGAGUUGAUUGGCAUUACCUAUGGAGAGGAUACAUGGGGCCAUAAUGAUGUUAUCAGAGAAUCACUGAACGAAGACCUCAGAAAUAAUACCUGA